rnacentral:tRNA from 1 species
CCGGGUGUAGCGCAGUCUGGUAGCGCAUCUGUUUUGGGAACAGAGGGUCGGGGGUUCAAAUCCCUCCACCCGGA